GGUGAGGUGGCCGAGUGGUAGGCUGACCAAGUUACGUGGUGAUUAUUAACAUCUGGUCCGAAAGGGCGUGGGUUCGAGUCCCAUCCUCAUCA